UACGUAGGGUGCAGUCGUUAAUCGGAAUUACUGGGCGUAAAGCGUGCGCAGGCGGUCUCUUAAGACAGGUGUGAAAUCCCCGGGCUUAACCUGGGAAUGGCAUUCGGGACUGCAAGGCUGGAGUGCGGCAGAGGAGACUGGAAUUCCUGGUGUAGCAGUGAAAUGCGUAGAUAUCAGGAGGAACACCGAUGGCGAAGGCAGGUCUCUGGGCUGACACUGACGCUCAUGCACGAAAGCGUGGGGAGCAAACAGG
rnacentral:rRNA from 1 species